rfam:Brassica napus, WGS project CCCW01000000 data, contig: 10512
AUACCUUUCUCGGCCUUUUGGCUAAGAUCAAGUGUAGUAUCUGUUCUUAUCAGUUUAAUAUCUGAUAUGUGGUCCAUUGGGCCACACGAUAUUAACUUUAUUUUUUGAGGGAGAUGGCCCAAUAAAAUAGCUUGCUAUCUGGGUUAUCACGAGUCGCUCAUGCGUUGCACUACUGCACGGGCCUUGCUCAGCCCAC